rnacentral:rRNA from 5 species
AAAUUGAAGAGUUUGAUCAUGGCUCAGAUUGAACGCUGGCGGCAGGCCUAACACAUGCAAGUCGAACGGUAACAGGAAGCAGCUUGCUGCUUUGCUGACGAGUGGC